rnacentral:rRNA from 1 species
UACGUAGGUGGCAAGCGUUGUCCGGAAUUAUUGGGCGUAAAGCGCGCGCAGGCGGCCUCUUAAGUCUGAUGUGAAAGCCCCCGGCUCAACCGGGGAGGGCCUUGGAAACUGGGAGGCUUGAGUAUAGGAGAGAAGAGUGAAUUCCACGUGUAGCGGUGAAAUGCGUAGAGAUGUGGAGGAACACCAGUGGCGAAGGCGACUCUUUGGCCUAUGACUGACGCUGAGGCGCGAAAGCGUGGGGGAGCAAAACAGGGAU